CUUGUAUGUAGUGUUGACGUUUCAAUGCAGGAGUGUGUUUUAUAUGUAGUGUUGAAGUUUGAAUGGAGGGGUGUAUUUGUAUUUAAAGUUGCGGCUCAGAUGCACAGGUACACACUCUGACGCACAAGCAGAUACACAGGCACAUACACUGACACAGGUACAUAUAUUGACACACACACAGACACAUACACUGGUAGACGUACUGACAGACAUACUGACACAGGCACAUAUACAGACAUACUGACACACAGACACAUAUACCGACAUACUGAC